AACGAACGCUGGCGGCAUGCCUAACACAUGCAAGUCGAACGAGACCUUCGGGUCUAGUGGCGCACGGGUGCGUAACGCGUGGGAACCUGCCCUUAGGUUCGGAAUAACUCCCCGAAAGGGGUGCUAAUACCGGAUAAUGUCUUCGGACCAAAGAUUUAUCGCCUUUGGAUGGGCCCGCGUUGGAUUAGCUAGUUGGUAGGGUAAAAGCCUACCAAGGCGACGAUCCAUAGCUGGUCUGAGGAUGAUCAGCCACACUGGGACUGAGACACGGCCCAGACUCCUACGGGAGGCAGCAGUAGGGAAUAUUGGACAAUGGGCGAAAGCCUGAUCCAGCAAUGCCGCGUGAGUGAUGAAGGCCUUAGGGUUGUAAAGCUCUUUUACCCGGGAUGAUAAUGACAGUACCGGGAGAAUAAGCUCCGGCUAACUCCGUG
rnacentral:rRNA from 1 species